UUCAGUUUUUAUUUCUCAGAAACAAUGUCUUUGUUUGUUUGACAGUUUGUCAGUCGAGAGAAUAUUAUGUACUCUCUUUAUUGGCUUGGCACAACUUAGCAGCAAGCCCAGAAUGAAAAACAGCUAGAGAGAAAAUUUAGAAGAGAGAAUAGACAGAGCAGGAGAGACACGGCUGGGAAAUGACAAUCAAACCGUGAAUUAGAGUUUUCUUUAUUUGUUCAGUUUGUUCUCAGGUAGAGGCAAUAUAUGCACUCUUUAUUGUUUUAAUGGCUUGCCAUUUUUCAGCAGCAAGCCAGGAGUGAAAAACAGGUAGAGAGAAAAUUUAGCAGAGAGAACAGACAGAGCAGGAAAGACACGGCUGGGAAAUCCCAAUUAAACCGUGAAUUAGAGUUCCUUCGAACUCUAAAAUUAGAGACGCGGCUUUGAAAUCAAACCGCAAUAAGAUUCUUGGUUUGGCAAAAUUUCUCACAAACCACAGGGUGAAAUACAGAUGGAAAGAAGGCAGAGACAACAGGUGGAGUAGUACAGAGGAUAGAGGGGUUGGGGGGUUGGGAUGUGAGAGAGAAGACUGGAGAUCUG
ensembl:lncRNA